GUCACAUAAGGCAUUACUUAGCAGGAGUGGUCAUUAGUGCAGACUUGAUUGUAUACUACAGUGGCCUAUGCUUUAUAAAAGAAGGUAUCAUGUUGAAAGUUUAACGGUAGUGAGAUCACUAAAGAGUCCAACACAAGAUCAAAAAGAUUGAGACUGUUCAGCUUGGGAAAGAGGCAGCUGAGGGGAGACAUGAGAGAGGUCUAUAAAGUCAUGAAUGGUGUGAGAACGUGAAUAAGAAAUUAAUUGGGACAGGACUACAGAAUAUGCAGUAUAAAACCAUCAUGCCCAUUGUCCUUCCGCAUUUCUGAUGGUUAAC